AUUGAACGCUGGCGGCAGGCCUAACACAUGCAAGUCGAGCGGAUGAAGGGAGCUUGCUCCUGGAUUCAGCGGCGGACGGGUGGGUAAUGCCUAGGAAUCUGCCUGGUAGUGGGGGAUAACGUCCGGAAACGGGCGCUAAUACCGCAUACGUCCUGAGGGAGAAAGUGGGGGAUCUUCGGACCUCACGCUAUCAGAUGAGCCUAGGUCGGAUUAGCUAGUUGGUGGGGUAAAGGCCUACCAAGGGGACGAUCCGUAACUGGUCUGAGAGGAUGAUCAGUCACACUGGAACUGAGACACGGUCCAGACUCCUACGGGAGGCAGCAGUGGGGAAUAUUGGACAAUGGGCGAAAGCCUGAUCCAGCCAUGCCGCGUGUGUGAAGAAGGUCUUCGGAUUGUAAAGCACUUUAAGUUGGGAGGAAGGGCAGUAAGUUAAUACCUUGCUGUUUUGACGUUACCAACAGAAUAAGCACCGGCUAACUUCGUG
rnacentral:rRNA from 1 species